CAGGUAGUUGGUAGGGGUAACGGCCCACCAAGCCAGCGAUCAGUAACUGGUGUGAGAGCACGACCAGUCACACGGGCACUGAGACACGGGCCCGACUCCUACGGGAGGCAGCAGUAAGGAAUAUUGGUCAAUGGACGCAAGUCUGAACCAGCCAUGCCGCGUGGAGGAUGAAGGUCCUCUGGAUUGUAAACUUCUUUUAUCUGGGAAGAAAUGCAUUUUUUCUAAAGUGUUUGACGGUACCAGAUGAAUAAGCACCGGCUAACUCCGUGCCAGCAGCCGCGGUAAUACGGAGGGUGCAAGCGUUAUCCGGAUUCACUGGGUUUAAAGGGUGCGUAGGUGGGCAGUUAAGUCAGUGGUGAAAUCUCCGGGCUCAACCCGGAAACUGCCAUUGAUACUAUCUAUCUUGAAUAUCGUGGAGGUAAGCGGAAUAUGUCAUGUAGCGGUGAAAUGCUUAGAUAUGACAUAGAACACCAAUUGCGAAGGCAGCUGACGAAACUGUAACUGACGCUGAGGCACG
rnacentral:rRNA from 1 species